rnacentral:miRNA from 1 species
UUCCUUCCGUCGAUGAGGUAUAACACCCUCAUUGACGGAAGGGAUUCCUUCCGUCGAUGAGGUAAAGCACCCUCAUCAACGGAAGGGAUUCCUUCCGUCGAUGAGGUAAAACACCCUCAUCGACCGGAAGGGA